GCUUUCCUAUGUACUUUACCCUGUGGGAAGAGUUGUCACAUACCUAUCAAUGUGAAUGCUAAAAGCUCUUGGUUUGAAAGGAAGAAGUGAGCCAUACAUUACUGAAGAUGAGUUGAAGCUGAUGUUGCGCGGAGCAGAGUUGAGUGGGGCAAUAGAGGAGGAAGAACAGAAAAAUAAACUUCAUGGCACCAUUCCAGGAAAAUUUGCAAAGCGCAGCCUCUGAGGACCCUUAACUUCAAUGAGAAUGAAUUUCUAGAUAUUGGUAACAAGGUGGAAGAUACCAAACAUAUUGGCUAGAAAGUCUUCUUGAUUUGCAAGUUCUUGUCCUUCAUUCAAAUUAAUUUUACGGGUCUGUAUGGAGUUGCUCAAAGACGAAGCACUGUUUUCCUAAGUUGAAAGUAUUUGACCUCUCAAGCAAUAGAUUUUGUGGUCCAUUGCCAGCCUGGUAUUUCAUAAAUCUUAAUGCCAUGAAGGAUGUUAGUGAAGCUGAGAGGAAGUUGCAAUACAUGGGUGAAAGUUAUUAUCAAGAUUCCAUUACAGUGACAAUGGAAGGGCUUCAGCUUGAACUAGUGAAAAUUAUCACUGCUUUUACUGCCAUUGAUUUUUCAAUUAACAACUUCCAUGGAGAGAUUCCCUUAGUAAUUGGAGAGCUUCAUUCACUUAUGCACCUCAAUCUUUCUUUAAACAAAUUAAGAGGUUGUAUCCCAUAAUCACUUGGAAAUUUGAAUGCUCUUGAAUCCUUAGACCUGUCUUCCAACAAGUUUGUUAGAUAAUUCCAUGGCAGUUGGCAAAUUUAAAUUUUCUUGGAGCUAACUCAUCAGGCCCGUUCUAUGGUCACCGCACUUUGAUACCUUCGGAAAUACUUAAUACGUUGGAAACUUGGGAUUGUGCAGAUGUCCAUUGUCAAAAGAAUGCAGAAGAGAUGAGACACUACAAGCACCCUCAAAAUUAGAAGAUGAUGCACACUCCACAAAUGGAUUUGGUUGGAAAGUGGUGUUGAUAGGCUAUGGAUGUGGAAUGGUGUUUGGAAUGAUAAUAGGAUAUCUUGUGUUCUCAACAAGAAAGCCUCAGUGGCUUGUAAGGAUCGUUGUAGGAGGACAUCGUCAAAAGGGGAGAAGGCCGAACAAGAGACACCGUGGAAGAAAAGAAUAUUUCUUACAGGUCCAGUAGUUCUAGGUAUUUGAUUCCAUGGAAUUGAAGAAUUUGGGAAAAGAGCGUUAACUUGGCAUGUGAUGAGCCCUGUCCGUUUCCCGUAAUUUGGCGAAGUAAAAUUAACUUGGGAGAAAAACAUCAUUGGUUGGCGACAUCCAUAGAUCAUAGAAAAUUCUCUAACAUUUUCUAGAAUAUUCAAAGCAAGGAUCAAAACUUGGUGCUAUAUUAAUGGUCGAGUAGUCUUAUGAACAAGAGUGAAAACAA